CACUGAUCAUUGUCUACAUCAAAUCAUUUUGAAUAGUUCAAAAGUUAAUUUUGAUUGUAACGAAAUAAGAAGGAUGGGCAAUAAUUAUAUUGUAUUAAGCAGAAUAUUUGUGUUAUUAACAAUAUCAAUAAAGGAAACUCGUUGUGAAAAACGUGGCGGCAUUUGUAUGGACAAGAGUGUCUUCUGUGGUACAGCCUUGAAGAAUUUCAAGACGGACUGCGCUCCGAACGAAUAUUGCUGUAUUUUAGUUUAAUAUAUUAUUACUACAAAAGAAA